rnacentral:rRNA from 1 species
AUUGAACGCUGGCGGCAGGCCUAACACAUGCAAGUCGAACGAGUGGCGGACGGGUGAGUAAUGUCUGGGAAACUGCCUGAUGGAGGGGGAUAACUACUGGAAACGGUAGCUAAUACCGCAUACCAUCAGAUGUGCCCCGAUGGGAUUAGCUAGUUGGUGGGGUAAAGGCUCACCAAGGCGACGAUCCCUAGCUGGUCUGAGAGGAGGACCAGCCACACUGGAACUGUGACACGUGCCAGACGCCGACGGGAGGCAGCAUGGGGGAAUAUUGCACAAUGGGCGCAAGCCUGAUGCAGCCAUGCCGCGUGUAUGAAGAAGGCCUUCGGGUUGUAAAGUACUUUCAGCGGGGAGGCUUUACCCGCAGAAGAAGCACCGGCUAACUCCGUGCCAGCAGCCGCGGUAAUAC